UAUUUUUUUUAUUCUGCUCACAGCUAAUUGCACUUGAUGUCUCCUCGCUCCUGCACUGGAAGAGACGCUGGAUAAUCAAUUCCUUUUUGCCUUUGCCAAGCCUGAUUUACCAGACCUUUAUCAAAUCCUCUUUCAGCCGUCUUUUCUCCAGCAGGACAAGUCCUUGUCUUCUCAGUCAAAGGCAGAGUUUCCAGAAGCACCACACUGUGAUGGGCAAUACAGAAAUGUCUGCUCUUGGAUCCAGCUGAUAAAAUGUCCCAGUCCAGGAGGUUCUGCACUGCUACAAUCCAAGUGAUGGUUUCAAUAAGUUCAACUGGGAGCUCUUCUCCAAG
rnacentral:lncRNA from 1 species